GUGCCAGCAGCCGCGGUAAUACGUAGGGUGCGAGCGUUGUCCGGAAUUACUGGGCGUAAAGGGCUCGUAGGUGGUUUGUCGCGUCGUCUGUGAAAUUCCGGGGCUUAACUCCGGGCGUGCAGGCGAUACGGGCUGACUUGAGUGCUGUAGGGGAGACUGGAAUUCCUGGUAUAGCGGUGAAAUGCGCAGAUAUCAGGAGGAACACCGAUGGCGAAGGCAGGUCUCUGGGCAGUUACUGACGCUGAGGAGCGAAAGCAUGGGUAGCGAACAGGAUUAGAUACCCUGGUAGUCCAUGCCGUAAACGGUGGGCGCUAGGUGUGAGGGUCUUUUCACGACUUUCGUGCCGUAGCUAACGCAUUAAGCGCCCCGCCUGGGGAGUACGGCCGCAAGGCUAAAACUCAAAGGAAUUGACGGGGGCCCGCACAAGCGGCGGAGCAUGUGGAUUAAUUCGAUGCAACGCGAAGAACCUUACCUGGGCUUGACAUACACCAGAUCGCUGCAGAGAUGUAGUUUCCCUUGUGGUUGGUGUACAGGUGGUGCAUGGUUGUCGUCAGCUCGUGUCGUGAGAUGUUGGGUUAAGUCCCGCAACGAGCGCAACCCUUGUCUUAUGUUGCCAGCAUUUGGUUGGGGACUCAUGAGAGACUGCCGGGGUUAACUCGGAGGAAGGUGGGGAUGACGUCAAAUCAUCAUGCCCCUUAUGUCCAGGGCUUCACACAUGCUACAAUGGUCGGUACAACGCGCAGCGACACUGUGAGGUGGAGCGAAUCGCUGAAAGCCGGCCUUAGUUCGGAUUGGGGUCUGCAACUCGACCCCAUGAAGUCGGAGUCGCUAGUAAUCGCAGAUCAGCAAUGCUGCGGUGAAUACGUUCCCGGGCCUUGUACACACCGCCCGUCACGUCAUGAAAGUUGGUAACACCCGAAGCCAGUGGCCCAAACUUGUUAGGGAGCUGUCGAAGGUGGGAUUGGCGAUUGGGACGAAGUCGUAACAAGGUA
rnacentral:rRNA from 1 species